AGUGAGUGGCGAACGGGUGAGUAACACGUGAGUAACCUGCCCUCUUCUUUGGGAUAACGCCCGGAAACGGGUGCUAAUACUGGAUAUUCACUGGCCUUCGCAUGGGGGUUGGUGGAAAGGUUUGUUCUGGUGGGGGAUGGGCUCGCGGCCUAUCAGCUUGUUGGUGGGGUGAUGGCCUACCAAGGCUUUGACGGGUAGCCGGCCUGAGAGGGUGACCGGUCACAUUGGGACUGAGAUACGGCCCAG
rnacentral:rRNA from 1 species